AUUGAACGCUGGCGGCAGGCCUAACACAUGCAAGUCGAACGAGUGGCGGACGGGUGAGUAAUGUCUGGGAAACUGCCCGAUGGAGGGGGAUAACUACUGGAAACGGUAGCUAAUACCGCAUACCAUCGGAUGUGCCCAGAUGGGAUUAGCUAGUAGGUGGGGUAACGGCUCACCUAGGCGACGAUCCCUAGCUGGUCUGAGAGGAUGACCAGACAAGCUGGAACGGAGACACGGGACAGAGUCCGACGGGAGGCAGCAGUGGGGAAGAUUGCACAAUGGGCGCAAGACUGAUGCAGCCAUGCCGCGUGUAUGAAGAAGGCCUUCGGGUUGUAAAGUACUUUCAGCGAGGAGGCGUUACGCGCAGAAGAAGCACCGUCUAACUCUGUGCCAGCAGCCGCGGUAAUAC
rnacentral:rRNA from 1 species